GGUUCCAAACAGCCGUGGCCCGCGGUGUCUGGCGUUCGGUGGGUGUGGUUGCCCCUAGUUUGAGGCCUGCCCGAUUACCCGCAAGACUUGGGCAGCCCCGGGCGCCGCUCCGACCACGACAGGGAAAGGUAAAGCGAACUGUGCUCCUUGGGGCUAGCCAGGCUCCCCUGCGAGGAGGAAGGUAAUGGUUUCAAGCUGCCCGGGCUGGGUUCCGAAUCUCUAGGACGCCAUGGCUGCGAUCUCCUCGCUUUCCUGGACGUCUUACCUCCGGAUGUACUCCAGUCUCAGUGCCCCUCAAUAAACGUUAACCUGCUUUGCCAAAAUGUAAAUGUUUAAAAAGGUGAAGAAGCAAGGAAUUGUUCGUUUUACCUUAAGGUUAAGAUUUACUUUAAAGGUAGAUUUGUGCUGUAGCAGAAACUGGUGACAAAUUGCCUUCCUCUUAUUACCUGGGAAGAUAACUACUGGUUUUCAACUUGUGAUAAAUACUCCUUCCGUUGUCUUUUGCCCCCAGCCAGAUCUGUUUCACCGAGAAGGGGUAGUUUGCACAAGGUAGUAACUUUCUCCAAGUUCCCAUCUAGCUUUCUUAACCAACCUUUUUUCUCUCCUUUGGGCGGCAGUUGAUCUGCUGGACACUUACUUGCCUUAACAAGGUUUGUUAAACACCUAGUAUAUGCCAGGAGGUAUGCCAGGGAUUGGGGAUGCAGAAAUAAAGAAGAUGUGUUCGCAGUGCCCAAGUUCACUCAAACCUCGAGGGGGAGCGUGUUGUCAAGUGAACAGAUAGUUCUAGAAUCUAGACAAUGCGACACAUUCUUGGGUAGGUUUAUGGUUGCACAGAGGAGACUAAUGGAAUGGAUGACCUAAAAGUGGACUGGGAUGGGGGUGGCAGGGCUGAGUCUGUGAGGUUGGGUGGGAGGGAACCUAGUCCCAGAGUCUUCUGCAGCCUGGACCAGACUACUUAAGCACUGCUGGGUUUAGACUGUCCUUUAAAAUAAGAGCCGCCAGAAGUGAACUUCUCAUUCUGUCCGUCCCUAAUUCUGUCCUUCUCUAAAAGGAACCUUAAUCUCAUCUUUAAAAUAAGGAGAAUUACUGAGUGACCUGAAGGACCCUUUUCAGCUGGAAAGUCUGAACUGACCAACACUGGAUGAAUUUGACCAUUUCUUAGGAGACUGGAAUGUUAAGUUUCUAUAAAUGAAUGAACCAGUUCUCUCUUGUUUGGAGCAAUGCUGAAAUUCCAAGAGGCAGCUAAGUGUGUGAGUGGAUCAACAGCCAUUUCCACUUAUCCAAAGACCUUGAUUGCAAGAAGAUACGUGCUUCAACAAAAACUUGGCAGUGGAAGUUUUGGAACUGUCUAUCUGGUUUCAGACAAGAAAGCCAAACGAGGAGAGGAAUUAAAGGUACUUAAGGAAAUAUCUGUUGGAGAACUAAAUCCAAAUGAAACUGUACAGGCCAAUUUGGAAGCCCAACUCCUCUCCAAGCUGGACCACCCAGCCAUUGUCAAGUUCCAUGCAAGUUUUGUGGAGCAAGAUAAUUUCUGCAUUAUCACGGAGUACUGUGAGGGCCGAGAUCUGGACGAUAAAAUUCAGGAAUAUAAACAAGCUGGAAAAAUCUUUCCAGAAAAUCAAAUAAUAGAAUGGUUUAUCCAGCUGCUGCUGGGAGUUGACUACAUGCAUGAGAGGAGGAUACUUCAUCGAGACUUAAAGUCAAAGAAUGUAUUUCUGAAAAAUAAUCUACUUAAAAUUGGAGAUUUUGGAGUUUCUCGACUUCUAAUGGGAUCCUGUGACCUGGCCACAACUUUAACUGGAACUCCCCAUUAUAUGAGUCCUGAGGCUCUGAAACACCAAGGCUAUGACACAAAGUCGGACAUCUGGUGAGUGGGCUAGUGGGCUAGACUCUUCAUCUGCUUCCCUAAAAGAAUGGUACAUUUUGUCUUUCAGCUCAUUUACUUACUGCAUACAUUCACUUUAUCCCUUUGACAUGAAUAUUUCUGUGACCAGAGUAAAAGAAGGUCUUUUGCAUUUAGAACUCGAUAUAUUUCAUUAAACUAGUUUCAAAAAUUCUUUUUAUUCAUUGAUAAUUGGUUGGUUUUGGAUUUUUGGUUCCUGAAUCACAAGGGAAAGUUCUUAAUGUACCAUAAGCAUUAAAUUUUAAUACAUUUCUGUUAACCUAUUAAAUAAAGUAUUUGUAACCCU
rnacentral:sRNA from 1 species